GGGGGGGGUAGUUUUUUGAGACAGGAUCUCACAGUAGUCCAGGCUAGCCUAGAACUAGCUCUCUUGCUCCUCCUGCCUCAGACUCCUGAGUGCUGGGAUUACAGGUGUGUGCUAACACUCCCAGUUUCCCCCUCCUUAAAUGUUUUUCUUUUCUUUUUUUUUUUUUUUGAUAGUUCAAGCUGGUCUUGAACUCACUGUGUAUACUAGACUGGCCUUGAACUCAGUGAUCCUCCUGCCUCCGUCUUCCAAGUGCUGGGAUUACAGGCGAGCACCACCAUGCCUGGCAGCUUUAAAUUUCUUUUGAGACAGUGCAUUGCUAAAUUGCCCUGACUGGGCUCCAGUUUAUGAUCCUCCUACCUCAGCCUUCCACAGUGCAGGGAUACAAGUGUGGCACCAUGUAGCUAAAUCGCCAGCCCUGGAGUUUUCAGUGACACAAAGCCUGCUGCUGUGAGUGCCAUAGGUUCACCACCACUGGCCUAGUGAAUGCUAGGUAAGUGUUCUGCCAUUGGGCUAUCCGCCAUCCUACCCUUUAGUUUGUGUUUUGAGAGUUUCACUGGUGGCCCAGGCAGGCGAUCCUCCUGCCUCCGGAGUGCUGUGGGAUUACAGGCCUGUGCCCCGUGCCCCUGUGCCCCUGGGCCCAGCUCCCCAUCCUCUCUUCAGAAGUUCAGAAUGAGUUUAAAAACUAUUUUGUCAACUUUUUAUUUUCUCUAGCAUAUACUUAUGAAAACUUGACAACUUUUCCAAACUCUUUGAAACCUGUCUUUCUUUUUCUUUUUUUUUUUGGUACCGGGGAUUGAACGAGGGUCCUUGUGCCUGCUGGCAGCGAAACCACUGAGCUAAAUCCCUGGCUCACCUUUCUUCUAUCAGUGAUAUUUCCUUCCCUGGGAAGCAUCCCUGGGAUCCUGACAUCUUAGGAGGCUUCCUCACAUUCCUGGUUGAGUUAGGUCUGUGACUCAUCCUUUCUAUCACACUGCGUUGCACUUUACGGGUUUCUUGUCUGUCUCUUUCCUUCAUGUCUAUCAGCUCUUUAAGGACCAGAACUUUUUUUCUCUUUUAAAUCUCCAUUUCCUGGUCCAUGAGAGUACCUAACACUACUUGGGUUUAAAGUAAAGUAAACAUUUGUUGAUAGUAAAUGGUACAAGUUAUAGUAACCCAAAAGCUAACCUGGCCUUCUUAGGCCUAUUAAAAACAAACAAAAACAAAGACAACCCCUUUGUACAGUUAUUUUCACAUCACCCAUAUCCUUAGGAACUUCAUACUUCAUAGACUACUAGAAACAGGUUCUCCUGCCGGAAAUAAAAUUGUGUUUUCUGUCCAAUAAUGUCAUAGCUGAGUGAGCUAGGAAGAUCCAGGUCUAUUUCCAUUAUGGUGUGUCCACAUGCAUUAGGGGCUGGCUGGAAGUGGUAGGUGAGUGCUGCAAGGGAGUGGUAUGGAAAUUAU
rnacentral:lncRNA from 1 species